CCGGGGCGGGCAGGUAAAUCCCCCCGCCCCCGCCCCGCCCCCGCCCCGCCUCCCCCAGCGGCGCCCCGGGCCCAAGGCCGCACGCCAGGAUACAGAAAUAGGAACGGUUUAAUCCGGAGACACGUCCCCCCUGCUGCCCAUUUCUCAAUCCGCGAGUUCAGAGGAGGAGGUGGGGGGGGGCGCUGAAUCGGAUCGAACUCGGGUUUUGGGGGCCGAAAAUGGCCGGAGCAGGAAGCGCGGGGCCGGGCGCUACCUUGUAACUGAGUUGGGUUCUUGCAGGGGUACGACGAAGGCGGCCUGGGGUCGCCCAUGGACCCCUGGAGUAACCUCGGUGCGGCCCGGCCGCCGGGCACCCCGUACUCGGACGAGGGCGGGGCGCGGAGUCCCUCCCAGGGGCCUCCCUGAAGGGGUCUCCGGGGAAGGAGGGGUCACACGUGGGUCCUUAACCCGUCCGAUGCAGCUGCAUCAUCCACCCCGGAAUGAAGCGGCACAGCAUCUGCGACACGGAUGGAGAGAUGCUACAGGACCAGGUCUGGUCCGUACACUUCCACACAUCACUACCAGUAUUCCGGGGGAAGUUGGUGCCGGAUUAAGCUGAUUCGAAACGUGGGGCGGCCCGUGACGCACUGCGCCCGUGAAUGUGCCCAUUGUGCGGUGGAGACCCGGCAGGNCAGGCGCUCCGCGCUCACAAGUCGGGUGGGCAGCAGAACUUUUCACUGACCGUGAGUGGGUCACAUUCUAGAAUUUGCCAUGGACUAAGUAUGAACUUCCAGGGAGACAAUAAAAUACGAAGUUGUAAGGUACACGCUGUCCUUCACUUUUCUACGCAAUUCACACCAAUUUCCAUAAUCCCACUUUUCUGUACGUUCUGCGCCAGGCGAGUGGGCUCCGGACCCCCGGCGCGCGAGGGCGCGCCCGUCGCGUGGGAACGAGACGGAAGGAACCGUACAUUUCGAGUCCCCGGUUGCUGAGAAGCAUAAUCAUAUCACUCCUCUUUUCUUCCCCAUUUGCAGGUUUCGACUUGAAUCCGAAAGCGCCUCUUACCGCCCAUUCUUUGCAGGAGGGCAGAGGGGGCAGGGUCUCCUUUUGGACUGCUGCGCGCCCAUCUAGCUGUCCAGACUCAGAUGCAAGCGUGUCCACGUCUACGACACAGAGCUGUGCACAUCAGGAGCCUGCGGAUGCGCGGGGCUGGUCGCACUUAACAGUGUGCAUACACAUGGGCGCAUGCACGCGCGCGCGCGCGCGCACACACACACACUCACACCCCAAAUUACCUCCGGGAUGGAGAAAGCCGCUCCGGAUUGGCCGGCAGGGCCGUCACUCACACCCAGGGGGCAGGGAGACUUUGCAAGGCUGUUUCCUUUUUUUUUUUUUUUUUUUCCUUCCCUCCCUACCGUUUCAUUUAAUGGUAAAACAACAGCAGAGCCCUGAAAGUUAGCCAUCUGCGCGGAGAGUUUGCUUUCUUUAACGACGGGGGCGUCAGACAAUAUCCAUUUAAAUAUAUUUUGUACUUCCACAAUGGAUGAAAAGGGAAAUUAGCAGUCCGGGAUGGGGGCGGAGAGGGAGCGAGGAGUAAGGAGGAGGGGGUCAUCCGGGGGGUGGACGCAGAGUGAAGAGUUGUUCUCAACGCCCAAAAGAGAUUUUGACCUCUACUGAUCUCGAAAUUAAAAAAUGUUUUUCACAGAUCAGAUUAUAACAAAUGCCGGCCCUCAUUGAUGCACUCAUUAUUUUAAUUUUAUUAUUUAAGCAUGCGCCAGCAAUCGUGUUUCCUUAAGAAAGA
rnacentral:lncRNA from 1 species